rnacentral:rRNA from 1 species
AGAGCUUAUGGUGAAUGCCUUGGUGCCAGGAGGCGAUGAAGGACGUAGUAAGUUGCGAUAAGCCACGGGGAGCCGCAAGCAGGCUGUGAGCCGUGGAUUUCCGAAUGGGAUAACCCAGCCAGUUUAACCGCUGGCUAUCGCCGGAUGAAUGCAUAGUCCGGCGAGGCGACACGGGGUGAAGUGAAACAUCUCAGUAACCCCAGGAAAAGAAAACGAAAUGAUUCCGUGAGUAGUGGCGAGCGAAAGCGGAGGAGGCCAAACCGGAGGGACUUGUCUCUCCGGGGUAGCGGGACCUCGACGUGGGCAGCGGAGAGUUAGCAGAACGCUCUGGAAAGGGCGGCCACAGACCGUGACAGCCGGGUCUGCGAAAACUUGAAGCGCCCUAGAGGGAUCCCAAGUAGCACGGUGCACGUGAAACUCUGUGCGAAUCCGUCCGGACCACCGGAUAAGCCUAAAUACUCCCUGGCAACCGAUAGUGAACUAGUACCGCGAGGGAAAGGUGAAAAGAACCCCUUCCAGGGGAGUGAAAGAGUACCUGCAACCAUGAGCUUACAAUGUGUCGGAGCGCCGCAAGGCGUGACGGCCUGCCUUUUGCAUAAUGAGUCUGCGAGUUAUUGUCAGUGGCCAGCCGAAGGUUCUCUGAACCGAAGGCGAAGGGAAACCGAGUGUGAAGAGCGCGACCAGUCGCUGGCGAUAGACCCGAAGCGGAGGUGAUCUACCCUUGAGCAGGUUGAAGCUGCGGUAACACGCAGUGGAGGACCGAACCCGUGGUUGUUGAAAAAUCCUGGGAUGACUUGAGGGUAGGAGCGAAAGACUAAUCAAACCCCGUGAUAGCUGGUUCUCUCCGAAAUCGCUUGAGGGCGAGCGUCGGGCCAGUACUCGGAGGAGGUAGAGCACUGAAUGGCUUAGGGGCCCCACCAGGCUACCAAAACCAAUCAAACUCCGAAUUCCUCCGAUCCCCGUACCCCGGCAUUUAGGCUGCCGGUGAUAAGAUCUGCAGCCGAGAGGGCAACAGCCCAGACCAUCAGCUAAGGUGCCCCAAUGUGAUUAAGUGGAAAGGAUGUGACGUUACUCAGACAGUGAGGAUGUUGGCUUAGAGGCAGCCAUCAUUUAAACAGUGCGUAAUAGCUGACUCAUCGAGCGAUGUCGCGCCGAAGAUGAUUGGCGAUCAAAUCACAUACCGAAGCUAUGGAUUGAAUCCCGGUUCGCCGGGGUUCAGUGGUAGGAGAGCGUAAUCAACGCGGUGAAGCUGGACGGAGACGGAAAGUGGAGCGUUGAUUAGUGAGAAUGCAGACACGAGUAGCGAGAAAACAGGUGAGAAUCCUGUUCGCCGUAAACCCAAGGUUUCCUGGGCCAGGUUCGUCCCCCCAGGGUUAGCCGGGAGCUAACGCGAGGCCGGAAGGCGUAGCGGAUGCACAGCAGGUUAAAUAUUCCUGCGCCGGCCCGGGUUAAGACUGUGAAUGACGCGUUGAGAAAAGUGACUAAGCAAUCGAAUGCUGAGCCUAGGCUUCGGCCAAAGCGCAUCACCGGACAAGGCGCCGAGAAAAGUUUGCAGUUGUUCCCCGGGUCGCCCGUACCGUAAACCGACACAGGUGGGUGGGUGUAAAUGCACUCAGGCGCGCGAGAGAAACUUCUCUAAGGAACUAGGCACAUUUGCCCCGUAACUUCGGAAGAAGGGGUGCUCAAGACCGCGACAGCAAUGUGGCGGUGGCGAGUCUCAGUAAAUUGCGUUUAGCGACUGUUUAACAAAAACACAGCACUCUGCCAAGUCGUGAAGACGACGUAUAGGGUGUGACACGUGACCAAUGCGGAAAGAUUAAGAGAUCUUGUCAGCCGCAAGGCGAAGCUCGGUCUUUAAGUCCCCGUGAAUGUCGGCCGUAACUAUAACGGUCCUAAGGUAGCGAAAUUCCUUGUCGGGUAAGUUCCGACCUGCACGAAUCGUGUAACGACCGAACGACUGUCUCGGAGAGGAUCUCGGCGAAACUGUAACGGCGGUGAAGAUGCCGCCUGCCCGCAGUAGGACGGGAAGACCCUAUGCACCUUUACUGUAAGCUCGU